rnacentral:rRNA from 1 species
AGAGUUUGAUCCUGGCUCAGGAUGAACGUUGGCGGCGUGCCUAACACAUGCAAGUCGUACGCUCGUAAGAGCGUGGCGAACGGGUGAGUAAUAGUAGGGAACAUGCCUUGCUCCGGGAAAUACCCCGCCGAAAGGCGGGCUAAUGUCCCAUAGUCUCGCAAGAGUAAAGCUCCGGCGGAGCAAGAUUGGCCCUACUCCUAUCAGCUUGUUGGUAAGGUAAUGGCUUACCAAGGCAACGACGGGUAGUUGGUCUGAGAGGAUGAUCAGCCACAGUGGAACUGCGACACGGUCCACACACCUACGGGUGGCAGCAGUUGGGAAUAUUGCGCAAUGGGCGACAGCCUGACGCAGCGACGCCGCGUGGUCGAAGAAGCCCUUCGGGGUGUAAAGACCUUUUUUAGGGGACGAUUAUGACGGUACCCUAAGAAUAAGAGCCUGCUAACUACGUGCCAGCAGCAGCGGUAAUACGUAGGGCUCGAGCGUUAUCCGGAUUUAUUGGGCGUAAAGAGCAUGUAGGUGGUAACUUAAGUCAAAUUUAAAAGCCCGCGGCUUAACUGCGGUUCUGGAUUUGAUACUGGGUUACCUUGAGAAUAACAGGGGCAAGCGGAACUCCCGGUGUAGCAGUGAAAUGCGUUGAUAUCGGGAAGAACACCAAUGGCGAAGGCAGCUUGCUAGGUUAUUUCUGACACUGAGAUGCGAAAGCGUGGGGAGCGAACGGGAUUAGAUACCCCGGUAGUCCACGCCGUAAACGAUGCAGACUAGCUAUCAGAAGUAUCGACCCUUCUUGUAGCGAAGCUAACGCGUUAAGUCUGCCGCCUGGGAAGUACGGCCGCAAGGCUAAAACUCAAAGGAAUUGACGGGGACUCGCACAAGCGGUGGAGCAUGUGGUUUAAUUCGACAAUAAGCGAAGAACCUUACCAGGGCUUGACAUCUAGAGAACCUGUUGGAAACAAUGGGGUGCCUUAAACGGAGCUCUAAGACAGGUGCUGCACGGCUGUCGUCAGCUCGUGCUGUAAAGUGUGGCCUUAAGUGGUCAAACGAGCGAAACCUGUAUCCUGUGUUACUUUUCACAGGAGACUGCCGUAGUUUAUACGGAGGAAGGUGCAGAUGACGUCAAGUCAGCGUGGCUCUUACGCCCUGGGCAACACACGUGCUACAAUGGCAGUAAUAAAGAGUUGUAAGAUGGCAACAUUAAGCUAAUCUCCUAAAAACUGUCUCAGUACGGAUUGAGGUCUGCAAUUCGACCUCAUGAAGAUGGAAUCGCUAGUAAUCGUGGGUCAGCACACCACGGUGAAUACGUUCUCGAGUCUUGUACACACCGCCCGUCAAGUGAGCCGAGUCGGCGGGGCCCGAAUCCGGAAGUUUCCGGACACGGCCAAGUCGGUAAGGAGCACUAAGUCGUAACAAGGUAACC